GACAGAGGUUGCAAACGUUGUUCGGAAUUACUGGGCAUAAAGCGCACGUAGGCGGUCCGUUAAGUCAUGUGUGAAAUCCCCCGGCUCAACCGGGGAAUUGCGCCUGAUACUGGCGGGCUAGAGGUCGAUAGGGGUGAGCGGAACUCCAGGUGGAGCGGUGAGAUGCGUAGAUAUCUGGAGGAACACCGGUGGCGAAAGCGGCUCACUGGAUCGAAACUGACGCUGAGGUGCGAAAGCUAGGGUAGCAAACGGG
rnacentral:rRNA from 1 species